rnacentral:lncRNA from 1 species
AAGGGCGCCUGCAGGACCAACGCUGGGGAGGCUGGUGUGGAGUCAGGCCCCAGAUGCCAGAGCCUCCAGGCUUCACUUGCAGGGCCUGGAGCCCAGCCUCCUAUUCAGCAACGAAGAGGCUGCUGUCCCCCAACGUUUACCCCACAAAACACGAGGACACAGGAAAGCGGAAAGCAAACAGCAAAUGCAAUGAGAGCCACAUAGGCCCGUGGCGCAGCCUCUGUACUAGCAAAGAGAAUCACUAGAGGGAAGAGAGGGUCCCCCGCGGCACAGGAGCGACUCGGCAGGAAGGGGAAGGGGCAGCAGACAGCAGACAGCAUCGCCCCAUGACACACGUGGCAACCAAAGCACAGACGCUGCUGGGUCCAUGCUCAGUGGAGGUUCUGACGCCCCUUUCCAUAGCCGGUGGGUGAAGGAGACAGAAGCUGGUGAUGAGAAUUUGUGCACACGAGCGUGGGUCAGGAGAAAUACCCACAACAUUGUGAAAAGGGACCAAAAAUCCCACGCAUUU